AUGGCUGCUUCCGAUGCUUCUGGGGUUACAAGUUCCAGACUUAAGAGAAACUCGGAUGACAUGGCAUGGGAGUUUGCUAUGCUGAUUGAUCCAGAUGAUCUGCAAAGAGUCAAGUGCAAGCUUUGUGGAAAAGUGAUGUCGGGAGGGGUGACUAGGAUGAAGCAACACAUUGCUCAGAUCAAAGGGUCAGUGACAAGUUGCAUGCAAGCCACACUAGAACAGCAAGCUCGGUGUAAGGAUGCAUAUGAGGCGCCAAAGAAGAAGAAGCAAAAGCUACAGGAAGAAAAUGAAGUAAGAGCCUUGGUGAUGCGGAGCAUCUUACGGACAUCACCAUGUCAAGAGUCCAUUUGGCAAGUGACACGUGCGACCUCUACUUCACAUACAUAA
rnacentral:rRNA from 1 species